GUGAAGAAGAGAUGCUUUGGAUUAGAAGUAAAAGUUGUCAACGACGAGCCUGACAUCAGCCUGAUGGUACUUCAAUGGCCAGCUCUUUCUACAGUAAACCAGGUUGCAGCUGACAAGGACUCAUACAGGCAAACUUCAGUGAGAAUCCUCUGUGUUGAUCUAUAAAGUGCUCAGCUAAACCCAUCAUGAGUGAAGAUCGUCUUGGAAGGAUGUUUGGUGAUGGAUGAACCGACCAACCUCAGGACUUCUGUGUCCUUUUUUCUGACUGAUUUAUGCCCUGCAACUGGACUACCCUAACUGUAUGAAAAAUACUUUAUAUUUUAUUCAGCAGGUAAUGCUCAACCUAGGAAAAUGUGAGCUGGCACCUAAAAUGGAAUACUGCCACUAUUGUGAACUCAGGAGUGUGAACAAACCAUAUAGUUUUGAUGCAAUUUGUUGUGAUUCUGAGAUAGACUAUUUAUGUGCUUAACAAUAAGCUGAUUUGUUAAAACUAGUUUUUUU